CAGUAGCCGCGGUAAUACGAAGGGGGCUAGCGUUACUCGGAAUUACUGGGCGUAAAGCGUGCGUAGGUGGUGGUUUAAGUCCGUUGUGAAAGCCCUGGGCUCAACCUGGGAAUUGCAGUGGAUACUGGGUCACUAGAGUAUGGCAGAGGGAGGUGGAAUUCCACGUGUAGCAGUGAAAUGCGUAGAUAUGUGGAGGAACACCGAUGGCGAAGGCAGCCUCCUGGGCCAAUACUGACGCUCAUGCACGAAAGCGUGGGGAGCAAACAGGAUUAGAUACCCCUGUAGUCCCUGUCUCUUAUAC
rnacentral:rRNA from 1 species